GCGAGGCGAAGAAAGUGGCGAGGCACGGCGGGCCACUCGGACUAUCAUCCUUCAUGCUGUACAGAUGGUGAGUGACAACUACAGUAUCCACCGGAAGCGAGCCGUUUGAUCGACCGGCUUAAUGAUUGUACUGAAAAGAAGGAAAGAAAAUACUGGUAAUCAUGCUGAACACUAGGAAACUGUCUUGGCUUUACCAUCUGGAACACCACCAUCCAUGGGUCUUCUCUCAAGUCAGAUUGCCUCUUUCCUACUGCAAGCUGAACUACAUCAUACAGAGAUAUAAGUCCUCAAAAGUUGUUAAGUCUAUCCAACAAGCAAAAAAGAUUGCUAUAGUUAAACCUAUGGCAAAGAAUGUUGACAAGGUAAUAAAUAAAGUAGUUAAGAGACCUCAGGAAAAUCAUAACUCAAGCAGAAUACUAAGGAAAAAUUCACCAGUUCUAUUAGAGAAAAAAUUUCCAGAAUCACCUAUUGAAACAGAAACACAAAAUACCAUCAAAGAAGAGAGUGAUCAUGUUCCAAAGAUAGAAAUUGCCUCAUUGAAUGAUGUUAUAGAGAAAGUUAUAGGGAAAAUCUAUCAUAAAAGUAAUGGAUCUUUAAGUUCCCAAAUAACUGAUAAUAACUUUGAUAAGUGUACAGGGAAGAUAGAUCAUGGAACUGAGAAAGCACACAAAGUAAAAAUUAUUAAGAAUAACAAGGUGGGGAAUGACAAAAAAAUUGGUGCCAGUAAAAGAAAGAUUUUUUUCUUUGAUAAAGAAAUAAAUAUUGAGCAAGAUGACUUGUUGGAUUAUGAUAAUCAUCAUCAUAAAGGAAAUCAUGAUAUUUCCAAAAACACAAAUGGCUCACUAUCAGCUGAACAUGUAAGUCUUUCGGUGGUAAAACAAGAUGUAAAUUCCUCAGCAGGAACCAUUAUGGACAUGAAUAUUGAUCUUGAUAAGACAGAGGCAUUGCAGAACAUUCGAAGAAAUUCUCUUGGCAUCCAAAUGUUGUCCAAAGCCAUCUUUGAUCAGUUAUUUAAAGAAGCUUCUGAAAAGGACAAUCAAAAUGCUGAAAAUCUUGAAAGAGCUAAGGAACAUUUACAAGCUCAUGGAUUGUGGGGUAAAACCUCCUCCUUCAUGGCUGAUGUGGAUUUCAAAUUGCCAAAGUUAGAAAGUAAUGAUUUAGACCAACAUUUCCGUGUCAUUGCCGAGGAUCAGUGUUUCCAUUACAAACAGUUGCUCAACAUGUUAAUAGGAGAAGAUCUUCCAAGCCCUCCAAACCAUUGGGAAUUCACCCCAGGAUGGACACGCUAUAACUUGGAUGGAAGUUGCUCCCCAGUUGAUUAUCCAGAAUGCUCUGCAUUAGUUUUUGAUGUAGAGGUUUGCAUUAAGGAAGGCAAUCAACCUACAUUAGCCACAGCUAUGUCAAACAAAUAUUGGUAUUCAUGGUGUUCUGAAGCUCUGACAAGCCCAGACCACCACAUUGAUAGAAAUGAGAUUAGUAUGAAAGAACUGAUUCCUCUUGAAAGUUCCAAAGAAGUCACACUCACAAAUGCACACUUACCUAAGUCGCCUCGGCUCGUUGUGGGCCAUAAUGUCAGUUUUGACCGCCUCCGAGUCCGUGAGCAAUACCUAUUGAAAGAAACGGCUCUUCGUUUUGUUGAUACCAUGUCUCUUCACAUUGCUGUGAGUGGCUUAGUUUCAGAACAGCGUGCUUUACUAAUGAAAAAUAAAAAUGAACCAAAAAUAAGGUUACCAUGGAUGUCUGUUGGUUGUCAAAACAGUCUUAAUGAUGUCUACAAGUUUUACUGUCAUCCUGAAAAGAGCCUUGAGAAAAGCACCAGAGAUGUUUUUGUUGAUGGUAACUUGAAUAAUAUAAGGGAAGACUUUCAGAACCUGAUGGCUUAUUGUGCUAGUGAUGUGAAUGCAACUCAUAAAGUUUUGGUCAAGCUGUUACCAUUGUUUUUUGAUCGUUUUCCUCAUCCAGUAACAUUUUCUGGGAUGCUGGAGAUGGGACUUACUUUUCUCCCUGUUACACAGAACUGGGAAAGAUAUAUAGAAGCCUCAGAAUUUCAUUACAAUCAGGUUGAAAGGAUGCUAAAUGAGGAACUUGUCAAGCAAGUUCAGGCAAGCCUUGGUUAUUUGAAAGAGGAAAAAUAUAAGAAUGACCCUUGGUUAUGGAGCCUUGAUUGGUCCCAACCAAAAGGUAAAGUGAAAAAACUGCCAGGCUACCCAAAUUGGUAUAGAAAGUUGUGUGCUCGGACUGGGGAGAGGGAGGGCACUCCAGAGCCUGAAAAUAUGAGCACCAGUUUGCAGAUUGUUCCAAAAAUACUCAAGUUAACCUGGGAUGGAUUUCCACUGCAUUAUGAAAGAAAAUUUGGUUGGGGUUACUUAAAACCCAUUUAUCAAUCCUUCAAGGAUAUACCUCAGUUGGAAUGGGAUUCUUAUCCUCUUGAUGCAAAUAAUGCACCAGUAUUUCCUGUAAAGAUUUUCUAUGAUGUAUUUGGUAGAAAGACUCAAGACGUAAAUGCAUCAGAAGUCAUUGUAUGUGAUGAAAGUAGAGAUGAUUGGACACAGUAUUUUGAAGAAUUAAAUUGUGUAAGUGAAGAUUCAAGAAAAAGGAAGAGAGGCAUAAGUGAUGAAGAUGACAACUUAAAGAACAUAGGCAUUCCUGGAGUAGGAUUUAUCCCUCUUCCUCACAAGGAUGGUGCAGGAUGUCGUGUUGGCAACCCUCUAGCCAAGGACUUCCUAAGCAAGAUAGAAGAUAACACAUUAACAAGUCAUGUGGGAGAUAUGGCUAAACUUGUAUUAGAGACCAGCAAAUCAUUAUCAUACUGGAAGAACAACAGAGACCGUAUACUUUCUCAAAUGGUAGUUUGGAGCAAUCAUUCGUCUCUUCCUCAUGUGGUCACUUCAUCUGAUGGGUAUACAAAAGACAGUAAGUAUGGGGUGAUAUUGCCCAUGGUGAUCAGUGCUGGGACCAUCACUAGGAGGGCAGUAGAGCGCACCUGGAUGACCGCCUCAAAUGCCUACACAGAUCGAAUUGGAUCAGAACUUAAAGCCAUGGUUGAGGCUCCCCCUGGAUACAAAUUUGUUGGUGCUGAUGUAGACUCUCAGGAACUCUGGAUUGCAGCUCUGCUUGGAGAUGCUUAUUUCACAGGAGAGCAUGGUGCUACUGCUCUAGGCUGGAUGACACUGCAAGGAAAAAAGAGUGAUGGAACAGACAUGCACAGCCACACUGCUCACAGUGCUGGGAUAUCCCGAGAUCAUGCCAAGGUUAUUAAUUAUGGAAGAAUUUAUGGUGCUGGGUUGCGAUUCAUCCAGAGAUUGCUGAAGCAAUACAAUCCAAAAUUGACUGACGCUGAAACUAGAAGGCAAGCAGAGCACUUGUUUGCUGUCACCAAGGGAAAAAAGGGCUGGUACCUUAAUGAGGCUGGUGAGAACCUUGCUUCAGAGUUGGGUCACCAUGUCAUUGAAGAGCCCUUGCCUAGAAAGAAGAUUAUGAAGAUUUUACGGGAAGCAUAUGAAAACAAUUAUGAAGCCACAUUUUCUGACAUAGUGGAAAACCCCCCGGUAUGGGUAGGUGGCUCAGAAUCUCACAUGUUCAACUGCCUAGAGGCUAUUGCUCGAUGUCCAGAGCCUAAGACUCCAGUACUGGGUGCUCGCAUAACACGGGCUCUUGAACCACAAUGGGUUGAUGACCAGUUCAUGAUGAGCAGAGUGAACUGGGUUGUACAGAGUUCAGCUGUGGAUUACCUGCACAUUAUGCUGGUGUGUAUGCGGUGGUUGUUCACAAAGUACAGCAUCUCAGGUCGUUUCUGCAUCAGCAUUCACGAUGAGGUACGAUAUUUGGUAGCUGAAGAAGACUGUUACAGAGCAGCCCUAGCUCUCCAGAUCACCAACCUUCUUACACGGGCAUACUUUGCCACAAGGCUGGGAUUCAAAGACUUGCCACAGUCAGUUGCUUUCUUUAGUGGUGUGGACAUUGACCAAGUGCUGAGGAAAGAACCCCACCUAGACUGUGUUACCCCAUCCAACCCUCAAGGCUUAAUGAAAGGCUACAACAUAAAACCAGGGACCACUUUGGAUAUACAUGCAAUAAUGGAUAAGACAGAUGGAAAGUUGGCAAAGCUUGACCUUGAAUGUUGUGAAGAAAUGAUUAAGACUGAUUAAUCAAGGAGCAGCAGGAACACCAGGCAGUUGUCAUGAAGCUGAGUUGCUGUUUCAAAGGCCUGGCUCAGGAGCAAUCCUGAACCACCUGUAGCAUCAAGAUCGAGAUCUACAUCAUGCAAACUGAAUUGCAAUGGCUGACCACCCUCAGCAUCCCACCCAGACCCUUGUCACAAGUGCACCCACCUCACCUUAGACAAGACUCUAGAAGUAAUACAAAGGAUUGAAGACAGGAGAGAAGACAGUGAAAGGGAGAGCAUUUAAGGUAAACCAGUCAACCAUACAAAAAAAAAGGGGUCUUAGGGUUGGGAUGCAGAAGAGAAUAAGAGGUUUCAAGAGUCCUAAAACAAUAUUUCUCUAAUGCGAUGGCCUUGCAGAUGAAAAUUAUCACAUUUGAAAAGGAACAGCCAUAUAACAAGGUUGGUUAAUUUAUGUUAAAUUUGUAACAUAAACAUUUGACACUGAAUGGAUUGUGGAAAAUGAACAUCAAGUUAGCCACUAUCUCAGACAUAGGCAGCCAACAUCUCAUCCCCCUUAGAAAAGUUUUCAGUCAUCAAACUAUGAAGUUAGACUGUAUGUCAGUCCAAGUCUAAAGCAUGUGUAGCUGUGAAACAUGAGGAUUUAUUAAUGAUGAUGUCCAUUCCAAUGGACAACCUGUUCUGGGCACUAUAAUAUCACCUGAGUCCAGAACUCCCAACUAAAAUACAAGAACUAGAGUUAUGAUGGUAAAUAUUACAAUAAAGACAAUAGACUGC